rnacentral:rRNA from 1 species
GAGCACGUAGGUGGGUUUGUAAGUCAGAUGUGAAAGCCUUCUGUUCAAAGGAAGAACGGCAUCUGAAACUGCAGAUCUUGAGUGUAGGAGGGGAGAGUGGAACUUCUGGUGGAGCGGUGAAAUGCGUAGAUAUCAGAAGGAACGUCGGCGGCGAAAGCGACUCUCUGGCCUAUUACUGACACUGAGUGUGCGAAAGUUAGGGGAGCAAACGGGAUUAGAUACCCCGGUAGUCCUAACCGUAAACGAUGGGCACUAAGUAGAGGGGUUUU